UCAGAUACUGUUUUAGGAGAACUAUUUACUUUUAACUAUUAACUUUCUUGUAAUGUAAAUGUUUUCCUUCAUUUGUAGGACAAGAAAAGUGUCUUCCUGAUGAUGAGAGUUCUUGCCAUGGUCUCUGUUAUUUUUGAGAAGCCAGACUAAGCUUGUGCGGCAGCCAAUGCAUUUUGUCAAAGGAAAAAAAUUGUUAAAGGGCACUAUCAUUUUACAGAUUUUGACAAACCGUUUUGGAUUUUUCUGUGUUCUAGACCUAUCUGACAAUUGCUUAGGUUGGAUGUUCUUUUUAUGCUGGAUUGUUUGCAGUUUCUUCGAAUAUGUAAGCAGUAGGUGCUUUAUCUGUCAUUAACAAGAAAAGGAUUGUGUUGCAACAGGAAGCAAAUUUAAAAAGGAAAAAAAAUAAACAUUUCACAGGCCGAUGCGGAAUUGAAAUGGUGACAAUGUUUUAGUCAAUUUGCUACAACCUUUUACCAUCACCCAAUAAGGAACAUAUACAUUUAUUACAAAAAAAAAUAUAUACAUGUGUUUCUUACUUUUUUAUUGCAGGAAAUAAUUUUUCAAAAAUAUUCACAAUGGUAUUAGAUCAACAAUCAGAGUUCUAUAGUUAAAAAAGAAACGUGAAACCUUACCGUCUGUGACUGCAUCUUCAACGAUAUUGUUGCUUUUUCUUCUUUUGGAAUGUUUGAGUUGAUGAUUUCAUAUAAAUACUUAUUGUGAUGGUAAAAAGAAUACACUGCGAAGAGUAGAAGGUUGGUCAGGAAUACAAGAGCAUAAAUUCCUUGACUGGAUGCCAUAAACAAGUAAUCUCUUUUGCCGCUCAUAUGAACGCCACAACGAACGACCAUUGCCAGCAAAACCUACGAGAAGGACCUACAAGUACAAUACAGGUCAUCUCUCGAAAACUCGGAUUCUUUCCUCCUUAAUUGUAGUUUGCAUCAACUGAAUCUUUCACAUACUUUUAGGUCUCUUAAAACUGGAAUAUAAUAUAAAAGGGACCUGAACUUUUAUUAAAGGCCCCAAAAAAGGCUUUAUUUGGAUAUUUGUUAAAUCAAGGCUUUAUCCAGGAAUUAGUCGGGUCUUGUAACUUGGGGAUGCACACAAGAAACUAGAUAUUUUUGGUUGCCUUUAAUUUUGUUCUUUCUUUUGCCUGUUUGUACCAGCUUGGAACAAAUUCUGUUUUCCUGAGGUUUUGUUUUGCUUAUGAGUCCCGGCAGUGGGCCCAUGAAAGAGUGUGGAUACAGUGAAAUUAAUACUCGUGGCACCUCCCCCAUGGAGUCUCCUCCUAAAAAGAAAGCUGCUGCACAGAAGAAAUGGGAGGUUUUCCCAGGUAGGAACAAAUUUUUUUGCGAUGGCAGGAUAAUGAUGGCCAAGCAAACUGGAGUCUUCUACCUCACCCUGAUCCUUAUCCUGCUAACCAGUGGACUCUUCUUUGCCUUUGAGUAAGUGUCAUUACUUCUGUGUGUGUAUCUUAAUUUACAUAAAAUGUUUGUAAACUAAAAUAGUCUAAAAUGUUUUGAUGGAUAUUACAUUUUCUGUAUAUUACUCAGACUUUUGCUUUAUUGUGGUCUGGGUAUUGCAUUAAAGGACCACUGACGUUUUUAUUUCUUUUGGUUCUUGCUAAAUAGUUUCUUUAGUUGGCUCCACAAAUGUAUUGGAUUUAGGCCACUUCUUGCACACCGCAGAAUCAUGACAAGGAAUCCUGUUUAAACAUAUAGGUUUCCUUAUUCUGGAAAAGAUCACAUGCUAAUAUAAUCUGGCUCAACUAUAUUACUAAUGUAUUUUUUUGUUGUUGUUGUUGUCAUUUACAGUACCAUCAAUUACUCGCCCGAACAUUUUUAUGUUCUACAACCUCAGAUCAUACCACUAACUGGAUGCUUUCUUGUAUCUGUAAUGCAUUCAGGAAGCAUAUUGUCUCCAAUUCCUAGUCUUACACUCUUUAUUCCAUCAUCGCCAGUUGUUGAUAUUUUGGUCUUAUUUCUCCAGAGGACUCUGCCCCACUGUUCCUCGGACCAAUUAACAUUGUUUUAGCCAAGUGUUGCCAAAAAUGUAGCUCCCCAGAUGUUGUAUAACUUCAACUCCCAUGAUCCUGUGUACAUUUUUGCAUGCCUUUAGAUUGACAAGGCAUCAUAGAAGUUAUAGUUUUAAAACAUCUGAGGUUCUUCCUUUUGGGCACCAGUGUUUUAGCUUAUUCAAAUAUCUUCCUUAUUUGUUUAGGGGAAAGAAAUUGCUUUUUCCAAGGAAUUGUAAAAAUUUUUUUUUUUUUUUGAGUCCGAUACUAACCGUUCUAGCAGUAAUCUUAACACCUUAAGACUGAGCCAAAUGUACACAUUGUGAUCAAAAAGUAAACAAAACCUUGAAUUUAGGUAUGAAACAUAAUUUAAUAUGAAUAAAAUAUAAAAAAGGGGGAAAAUAAACUUUAUAUUUUUUUUUUUUUUGUUAGUUCUACGUGACCUAUUAACUGUGACUGUCAUAAUACGCUUUGCUUUUACUGCAAUAAAAUACACAUUUGUGUUCAGCGAUGUCUAAAGUGUAAAACAGUACCCCCUAUGUACAGGUUUUAUGGUGUUUUGGGAAGUUACAGGUUCAAAUAUAGCAUGUUAAAUUUUUCAGUUUUUUUCACAUUGAAAUUCGCCAGAUUGGUUACGUUGCCUUUGAGACCGUAUGGUAGCCCAGGAAUGAGAAUUACCCCCAUGAUGGCAUACCAUUUGCAAUAGUAGACAACCCAAGGUAUUGCAAAUUGGGGAUGUCCAGUCUUUUUUAGUAGCCACUUGUUCACAAACUCUGGCCAAAGUUAGUGUUAAUAUUUGUUUGUGUGUGAAAAAUGUAAAAAAACUAAUUGGAACGCCAAUUUUGGCCAGUGUUUGUGACCAAGUGGCUACUAAAAAAGACUGGACAUACCCCAUUUGCAAUACCUUGGGUUGUCUACUAUUGCAAAUGGUAUGCCAUCAGGGGUAAAUGUCAUUCCUGGGCUACCAUACGGUCUCAAAGGCAACGUAACCAAUCUGGCGAAUUUUAAUGUAAAAAAACUGAAAUGCAAGCCUUGUAUUUGACUCUGUAACUUUUGAAAACACCAUAAAACCUGUACAUGAGGGGUACUGUUAUACUCAGGAGACUUUGCUUCAAAUCAGUAAAAUGUAUCACUGAUGAUAUCGUUGUAAUACAUUUUACGGCGACCGGGUAAGUACAAAGGUCGGCGGGGACGUGCUAUGCGGUCCUUAAGAGGUUAAAACCAGAUGGAGACCAUUUUUAUCUCUCACUUAUAGUUUUUGAAUUCUUCUGUCACAACAUGCAUUGUGCAUCUUCGAUGGAGUAUGCAAAUAUCUCUUGCAUAGGUCAGAAAUACCUCCUUUUAGUUAGAUUUCCUAAGAAGUGUAGCCUUCAAGCAAAGUUGUUAUUUUUCCAUCUCUUUUUAGGUGACAAGUCAACUCUUUUCGUAAAGUUUCUUGACCUCUUACCAAGUUAAACAGUAUACUACGUUAUUAAGGAAAAGGGAAAAAAAUAAAUCUGACCAACAAAAAAUGCCAACUUGAUGACACUCAAACAACUAAUGAGUCCUAUCAUUAGCUCUGAUACAUCCUAAUAGGAAUUAAGAUGGUUUCGUAUAAUGUCAUAACACCUGAUUGGCUCUCAGAACAUUGGUCAGUUUUGAGUUAAAGGACCACUAUAGGCACCCAGAUCCCUUCAGCUCAAUGCCAUGUCCCCCUAAUUUUAACCCUGCAGCAGAAACAGCUCUGUUUACAUUGAGGGUUAAUCCAGCCUCUAGUGGCUGUCUCCCUGACAGCGGUUUGAAUGCGCAUGCGUCUGUCUGCGCAUUCGCAGCCGACGUCGGCAGGGAGAGGAGAGGUCCUCAGCGCCGAGUUAGCGUGGCGCUGGAUUAAGGUAAGUGGCUUUAACCCCUUCCGCCCAGCGGGAGGGGGGACGACGUAAUAACCCUAUAGUGCCAGGAAAAUCAGUUUGUUGUCCUGGCAGUAUAGUGCUCCUUUAAGGAGUUUCUCUACAUGUUACAUUAGGCAGCUGUGUUUUACUUUUCUAGUUAUGUAGCUGUGACAUUUAGUAGAAUAAAAAAAAGAUUUUUCAUUGUCUUUUGCAUAAAAUUAUCUUUUUAUAAUGAUAUGUAAUUUAUGGCAUUUUUAAGACUUGUGUUAUUAGCCCUAAAUGUUCCACAAGGUUUCAACAAUUGUUACCAAUGGUUUGUAUAAUAUAAUGCAAGGAGUCAGAGUUCAAGGUUUUGUGCGCCGACCACAUAGCCCUGGAAUUAGUAAACUUUAAAUAUAAGGCUUGAUUAAAAUAUGGCGUUGAUUCCUUUCAUAUAAUGGUUUUGUUCUGUCACUUUUAAUAACUCUGUCACUUUCACCUUCUAGUGGUUAUGAUGCCAGAAUGCCUCUGGAACCAUCACAGUAUUCUGUGUUAAACCAGUUUAUUAACUUUUUACACAAAUAAUGUAGAGGCAUUAUAGUGUUAUGAAUACAAACCUCUACAUUAGAGUGCUGGACUACCUAGUUAGGUGAAAAAGGUUACAUAGCUUUUAGUGUACCUACACUUUCAGUUCUUGGUUUCUUAGAAUUUAUGUAAUUAAUGCCUUGGGGUUGGUUUUGCUCUCUUUGGCUAUCAUUUUUUCAUUUUGAAGUUUAGCGAAACUAAUGAACUUUUUGCACGCAUUAUUGGCUUCCUUAUAUCUUUUAUAGGAUGCAUCUGAUUUGUCCGAUUUAACCCCUUGAGGACCAAACUUCUGGAAUAAAAGGGAAUCAUGACAUGCCACACGUCAUGUGUCCUUAAGGGGUUAAAGGCCCUUUUCUAAUUUUUAGUCUGUUUUACUUAUCUACUAGGCCACAUGUUGGUCAGAAGAUCAAAGUUGUUUGUUAAAACCAGGUCCAGACAAGCGUCCUUUCUAGUUGGUGCUUGUACAAGUUGUGACAUGAAGGUGUCAUUUAAACAAGUUCAAAAACCUAAUUCCCUAUGCUGAGCUACUAGUCCCUCUGUCCCAAUUUAUGUCUGGGUAAUUAAAAUCUCCAAUAAUUAACGUGUUACCCAGAUUUGCAGCUUUCUCAAUUUGCUCAAACUACUGUUCCUCAUCAAUAUUAACAUUAGGUGGUUUAUAACAUAUCUCAACCAAUAGUUUAUUUUCCUUCUUUUGCCCCAAGAAGAUAUUUACCCAUAAAGCAUCCACAUUUCCCUCCUCACAUUACACUUGCUUAAAGGACCACUAUAGCGCCAGGAAAACACUCUUUUUCCUGGCACUAUAGUGCCACUAGUGCUCCAUAUCGUCUGAAUGCGCAUGCGCGGCAGGAGCUGCGCGCAUUCAGCCAGUCCAAAGGAAAGCAUUCUCAAUGCUUUCCUAUGGACGCUGGCAUCUUCUAACAGUGAGAAGCGCCUCUAGCGGCUGUCACUGAGACAGCCACUAGAGGCUGGAUUAACUCUAUUCUACAAAACUGCUAUGUUUAUAGAAGAAAGGGUUAAUCCUAGCUGGACCUGGCACCCAGACCACUUCAUUAAGCUGAAGUGGUCUGGGUGCCUAUAGUGGUCCUUUAAGAUUUGUCUUAAACUCAUGGUUGACAUACAAACUUAUACCACCACCUUUCUUGUUUUUUCUGUCCUUCCUAAGUAGGACAGAACUGCAUUUUACAUCCUGCAGAAACACCUACCACUCUCAGGUACUGACUGAAUCUGUGAAGAUACUCCACCUUAUUUAUUCUUGGAUUGUGGCAAUAUCACGUGUUCCUAUAGAAUUGUUACCAUUUAUACCUGUAGUUUGCCACUAAAGUUCUGUGCAUGCAGUUUGUAUUAUUGUCAUUCAUGUUUCUGACCAAUAUUUCAUGUACACAGUUAUUAAUAUAUUGGUUGCUAGAAUUUGGUUGCUAAACUUUCCAAUUGUAUUCAACACAUGGCUAGUCUACCUCCUCCCCUCUCUCCCUCUUUGCUAUCCUCCUCCUAGCUGUAAAUACCUUCAUAUAACUAUUCAAUCUUCUUCUCUGUUCUUCAGGCCUUACUUCACACUCAAACUCUGUGAAGAACUGCAUCUUUUUUCUCACCACUUAACCCUCCCCCAAUAUAUUGCAUGAGUCUCACUCAAUUACCUUGUCACUCCCUUUACAAUUUACCAAUAGCUGCUUCUCUCUGUUAACUCUUUUAGCCAUCACCUCCAAAUUUCACCUGCUACCUCUUUGUCUCAGUUCCCCACUGUAUCCUUUAGAUUGUAAGCUUACUGGCCAUCUAGCUAAGCACUUUGUAUAAAAGAGCUCAAAUGGCUAGAUAUCAGCUUACGGGCAGGGCUCUCUCUACCUCUUGUAUUUGUCUGUGUAUAUUGUACCUUCUCAACUAAUUGUACAGCGCUGCGGAAUCUAUUGGCCCUUUAUAAAUACCAGUAAUAAUAAUAAUAGUGUGUACCCAUUUAGGUUAACUGCCCAGUCAUGUGUCUCAUCCCACCAUGUUUCAGUUAUGCCUAUUAUAUCAUAUUGUUUAGUGUAUGCUAUUGCCUCUAGUUCCCCCAGUUUAUUUAGGCUCCUUGCAUUAGUAAGCAUACAUUUAAUAUCAUGAGUCACUUGUACUCUUUGUAAAUUAUCAACAUUAUAUACAUUCUCUGUUCUAAGCUUGCCCAUCCCCCCCGUCUCCAUCCCCCUUAUACUGAGCUAAAGCCCAUGUCCUUCCUGUCCUAUCUCCAUUUUGUAGAUUGCUAUGACCCUCCCCCCCUCCCCACUACUAGUUUAAAAUCUCCUCCAACCUUCUAGCCAUCCUAUCCCCCGGCACUGCAGACACUCUCCCGUUUCGGUGCAACCCAUCACUGCUAUAAAGGUUGUACCCAAGCGCAAAGUCGGCCCAGUGUUCUAAAAACCUCAAACCCUCCUUCCUGCACAAAGACUUCAGGUUAGUUUCCUUUUCUCAAUCGUCGCCCUGAUUUCGGUGCUGCUUGGCCCCACCUCCAUGGCUCCAAGAUCAUCAGUCUUAAUAAUCUCAGUAAUCCGUUGCUUUCCCAUAGGAAAGCAUUUUGAGGCUAUUGUGCAUGUGUGGCAAAACGCUGUUCUACGCCACGCCAUAUGUCCUCAUAGAGAUGCAUUGAAUAAAUGCAUCUCUAUGGCUAGCGUUCAGCGUCUCCAUGCAGAAUACUCUGCAUGGAGAUGCUGAAUUUUCCUCAUAGAGAUGCAGUGCUGUGUUUGGCUCCUCCUUGGAGACAGAUUGGGUCAGGGAACGGCGUUGGCAGACCUGUGUGGCGCUGGAAUAAGAUUUUAUUUAUUUCCUUUUGGGGUGACAGAGGGACCAGUAACCUAAAUUGUGAUUUACUAACCGUAUAGGGUCAGGAAUACAUGUUUGUAUUCCUGACCCUAUAGUGUUCCCUUUAAGCAUUGUAUUUUUAUCACUGAAUAUAAAGAUUUGUUGGUUAAAGAAAAAACCUGGCUCCUAACUGUCUUUAGCUGGCUCAUAGAUUGAAAGAUUCCAAGCAAAUUUAUCAAGCACUGCAUUAGAUUUCACUUUACAGGAAGUGUUUAGAAAGGCUGUGCAAGUUGCACCUAGUGCUCGCUGAGGACUCCAAGCACUCCAACCGACACCAUCAGCACUGCAGACCCCACUUCCAGCGAUACAGCUGCGCCGGGGUCUCGCCGUCUCCACCCACCCUGGAUCCACGACCAGGAUCCAGCUCCCAGUGGGUGAACCUCUCCUAAAUCCAGAGAGCGUAGCAGGAACAAAUCAAUCUAUUGCAAGAGCUUACUCUGGGGAGUAAGCGAUUAUAGCAAUCCCCAGAGUGUAGGUAUCCCUUCCCCCAAACAUGAGCUAAGGCUUCAAGAAAGGUACAAGAUGAUCUGGUUUUAAUGACCUCAUACUGGCUUUUAUGCAAGUCCCCAUGCAAGGGGACAUCCCACAGGAUGGGACACAGUAUAACCAAUCACAGACAAUACAAAUAAAAAACACUCCCACAGUGACCUCACAAUCCCUCCUCUCUUUCCUGGAGAUAAUUGGGAAGUAAUCAAAUUAUCUCCCAGGACAGAGGCAAGACUCCAUUAACCACAUGGUUACAAAUGGACAUAAAACAUAUACAUGCAACAUAUCCCCAGAUAGCUUAGAUCUGAGUGCACAUUAUUAUUGAAUGGCGCUCAGGUCACAUACAUAAAAUUCAAUUGCCAUGGAGCCAAAGUCUUUUCAUAGUCUUUUGUUCCACGAAUUAGCUCCAUGGCAUAGCUAUCUGGGGUAGUGCACUACUCACAUACUGGAAGUCCCGAACAACCCGGCAGAAAUACCCAAAUAAACCUUAUUGCAGCGUAAAAUACAGCUAUCAGCACAGGGGCCAAAGUCGGAAGGCAGGAGGCUAGCCAGUAGUCCCCUAAAGGCACAAGUGGCGAAGGGCACUUCGUCACACAUUUAAUUAUGCAUUUUUAUUUUUUAUUUUUUUAUUUUUGGGGUUACAUCUGCAAAGGCAGCAGACAAAAUCUGCAGUUUUAAUCCCUCUCCUUCUAACACAGCCUCAAAUUUAUGUGACUGUUAAAUCAGACUUUCCAAUGCAGCUCAAUUAAGUCUUUGCAAGGCAGGUACUUUGGGCAAUUGCCUCUUCAGUUCAGUGCAACAAAGCUAACCAAACCAGGAAGUAACAGGACCUGUUGUCUGCUUGAAAAGCCACGGGUGUAACAAGUAUCCUCAAUAAACAUGCAACAUUUUGUUCCAAAAUGAGGGGGGAAAAGGACUCACUAUUCACACACAAAGCAUUUCAGGAAGCUAAAGUGAUUUUUGUGGUCUGGAGUGUCCCUUUAAAACAGUGGUUACCAACCGUUUUUUCCAGCCUAUUCCCAUAAAUUGUACCCCUCAUAUUAGCUAAAUGUUUAAUAUAGAUGCUGUUAUUUCAGAUUUGUGUGGUUUAUUUUUUUUAUUUUUUUCUGCCCCUGGCUCCACCCUGCUUGUGUCAGUGUGUAUCUGCACAAUGAAAAACACGGACACACGUACAGACACACAGAUCCAAACACACAUACAAACAAUGCCACACCUAGAGAUGCAAACAUUAAAGCGGCACUGUCAUGCCGAACUUACCUUUCCUCAAUCUCUUCCUCUUCUCCCCCUCUCUCGGGAUCUGUUAUUCUUUUCUUCCUAUCUUCUUUAGUUUUCUUUAAAAUCAUAAGACAAAGUAGGGACUCUUUGCCUUAUGGAGGAUUCCUCCGCUUGACCAGCUCUGACCAGCGGAGGAGCAAAGUGUGCUUCAUUUCCGCUGGUCAGAGCAAUUUUCCCAUGAUUCUCACCUUCCCUCUGUGUUCCCACGAUGCUUCCUGUCACUUUACACAAAACUGCCGAAUUGCGUUCUAACUGAAUGAGAACAGUAUGUUCGUUUCUUUUAGAACGCAAUUCGGCACUUUAUUCGGAUCGGAAUUUCAUUCUAAUGAAUGAAACUCCGAUCCUAUUCUUGCUGUGGCUGCAUCUUGCAGCCGCUUAGUAGAUAACUCCCUAAUUCCCACGGUAUCAGGGAGUUAUCUACUAAAAGGCUGAAAGACCUAAAUUGGUCUUUCAGCCAAUUUACUAAUACUAAGUAAAGAUUACUUAGUAUUAGUAAAUUAAAUGCCCCUACUCGCUAUACCGCGAGUAGGGGCAUGUGUAGUAAGCAGUGAGCAGCUUAUAGCUGCUCACUGUAAAAAACAAAACAAAAAAAACUAAUAACCCCCCCCCACCCGUGGGGGCCCUAAAUAAAGAUGGGGGGGACCUACCUGGCCCCUGGCCCCCACCCCUGAGCGGUGGGUGGGGGCCCUAAAUAAAGAUAUGGGGGGGAACUUCUGUCCCCCCCCGGCCCCCACCCCUGCGCGGUGGGUGGGGGCCCUAAUAAAACAAUAAGGGGGGGGACCUACUGUCCUCCCCCCCUGGCCCCCACCCCUGAGCGGUGGGUGGGGGCCCUAAAUGAAACACCCCCCCCCCAAUCAAGGUGACUAGGGGUCCCAAGCCCCUAGUCACCAACCCCCCACCCAAAAAAACCUAUCCCCUACCUACCCCCCUCACCCUACAAAUAGUGAGGGGGGAAUAAAAUAACUAACCUGUAAAAAAAAAUUAAACUUACCAUUUGACGUCUUCUUUUUUCUAAAAUCUUCUUUCUUCAGCCCCCAAAAAGGCCAAAUAAAAAUCCAUUAUACCCGUCGCACUUUUAAAAAAAAAGAACCGGUGGGUUUAAGCCAAUGACCCCCAUAAGGCUGCUCACUGUUUAGUAGACAUGCCCCUACUCGCGGUAUAGCGAGUAGGGGCAUUUGGGAGAUUUUAAUCUCCCUUGUGCUAUUAUGGGGGUCAUAUUGACCCCCAUAGAGUUAGAGGGGGACCUGGGGGGGGCUUAUGAAGUGGUGGGGAGCACUGCUCCCUGCCGCUUCUAUCUUUACAUAUUACAAGGAGGGAGCUGCGUGCCGGUAGCUCCCUCCUUGUAAUAAACUGAACGAACAAACUAACACUGAUACAUUGUGUUAGUUUGUUCGGCUGAUAUUUCUAUUCACUCAUUCGUCUGUCUGAUGAAUGAAUGAAUAGCUGAAAUUCUCGUUCGCAUGUCCAGGUGUUUCACUGGGCAUGUGCGGGAAUCUCACAGUCUGCCUAGUGUGGGCUGAUGACGUGUCCCACAGGGACUUCACCUACCCAUACAAAGAUGGCGGCGCCCUGAAUCAAGAUCGGGGCAGAAAAUAAGGAUUAAAAAAUAGGUAAUGUGGGGGGCUUAGGGGCAUUUGGGGAUGACUAGUGGGUCAAUUGGAUGUAGUGGAGGCGGGAGGGGGGUUUAAAAAAAAAAAAAAAACGGGAUUCGGCAUGACAGUGCCGCUUUAACACAUGCAGGUGCAUCAACUACCACGCAUACAGAUGUACAGAUAGAAACACUGCCACACAAAGAUACAAUGACACAUGCAGAUACACACUGAUACAGACCUGUACACAAAUACUGAAACACAGUUGCACAGACACUGAUACACACUGGCACAUAUACAGAUGUACAGGCACACAGAUCUAAACAGUGACACUCAUACAGAUACAGACACCGUAACACAGUGACACACAUUCAGAUACGCACUAUGACACACCGAUAUACAAACUUCCAUAAUAACACAUGUAGAUACAGAUACAAAUACUGACACACAUGCAGUUGCAUAGGCACACUAUAUCUGCAUGUGUCAGUAUGUGCAUCAAACACUGAUACACACAAUGACAUACAUGCAGAUAGAUAAAAAUACAGACACUGAUACAAAUACAGAUGUACAGAGACAUAGUUGCGCACACACACUGACACAAAUGUACAGAUACAAAUACUGAAACACACACUGCUACACAUGUAGAUAAACAGAUCUAAACCCUUACACCUACAGUUCCACAGACACACUGAUACACACACACUCAUCCAAAGAAUGAUACAGUCACGCAUACAGGUACACACACUGACACAUGUAAGUACAGAUGGAAACACGGACACACAUACAGUUGCCAAUACACACUGAUACACAUACUGACACAGAUACGCCGAUACAGUGACACAUAUACAGAUACUCAUACUGACACAUACAGAUGUACAGGCGUGUGCGCGCACACACUUCUAUACAUGCAGAUAUGCAAACACUGACACACACACACACAGAUAUACAGACACACAGAUCCAAACCAUGACCUACACGCACACUAACAGAAUGCCGAUACAUAGACACAGAUACAAAUCCUAAAACAUAAUAUACAGACUCACACACACAAUGACACAUGUAGAUUCACAGACCCGCAGGUGCUCAGACACACUAAUACACAUGCAGAUACAGACACAUAGAUACACAUACUGACACAGAUGUACAGAUACGCAUAUACAGAUGCAGACGCACACACAUAUUGGGAACUCCUGCUUUAAGACAAAGACCUUAAGGGGGACACUCCGCUGCUCAAAUACAAAAUAAAAAUACCUGCAAUACCUCCAAAUAAAAACUUGCUUGCAUAUUUUUUUUCCUUUGCAGUGGCAUGUUCUAUACACAAAAACAUUAAUUUAAAGGGACACUAUAGUUCCUAGAACAGCUUAAAGUAAUUGUUCUGCUGUCUGUAGACCUUCCCAGCAGGCUUUUUAAUGUAAACACUGCCAUUUCAGAGAAACUCAUGUGCACUAUGUUCCCCUGUCUGUUAAAGUCAGAGGAGGAGCCCAAUCCCGCGCUUAUAGGCUUUGGAGCUGGACUCAAGUAAGUGACGUAAAACAUUUUUCAUUCAACCCUAAUCACACCUCCCAUGCAUGUGACCUACACACUUCCUAUAAAGAAAAGUCCAAUGUAAAAACUUAUAUUAUUGCAUAGUCUUUAGUUUGGAAUGUCCUCUCCUACUUUGUAAAUAACCUGCUAGAUCCUGCAGGAGCCUUAACAGGGCAGGAAACUGCACUGAUUGAAAAUGUAUUUCAUCUUUUCAUGAAGGCUGUGUGAAUCAGUCAUAGGUGUAAUUAUGGUUGCAAUUAUGGAGACAUGAUCUAUACACCAAAACUGCUUCAUUAAGCUAAAGUUGAUUUGAUGCUUAAAGUAUCCCUUUAAGUAGUCCAUAAUGCUUUCUGUGUAUGUUGAUUUUUACUUUAGUGAUCCAAUCAGAACAAUGUAAUUGAUUCUGGAAGAGUUAUUAUUGUGGGGAAAUCUAGAGCAUUUAACCCCUUCAGGACGUAGUCAAUAGUACACGUUCUGAUCAAAACAAAAUGUAAACAAAAACUGGAAUUUGCGCUAUGUCUGUUCAACCGUAAUUCACCUCUUUCAUAUUAUAUGCACCCAUACUACUUAUAUUUUGUUCAGGAGAAACAUGGCUUUCAUUUUAUAUCAAAUAUUUAUAUAUGAAACAAAACUUAUUAUGAAUAAAAAAAAAAAAAAGGAGACCUUUUUAAUUGUUUUUUUUUUUUUAUUGUAGUUCCACCUGUACAGCGCUGCGGAAUAUGUUGGCCUUAUUUAAUUAUAAUUCACAGUUUAGUGACUAACGGUGUGAUUUUAAUCUCUCUGCUAAAUUUAAUUCCUCUAAUAUAUUUUUUCUGCUUCUUCAAAAGAAGAUCAACAGGGAAAAAUCUAUUUUCUGCUGUUGUGGGGCCCCAUUAAACCAUUCUUCUCGUUUAACCAUUAACACAUCCACAUGGCAUGGUGAAAAAAAAAAUUCCUGGCACUUUGUGGGGGCAACAUUAUUUAUCAAUGUAUUACUUCAGAAGUUAUUUAAGUCAAAUUCGGAUAUCAUUUUUUCACAUUAUCUAAAAUUUUAAAUUUAUUAGAUGUCAGUAUAUGUGAGGAAAAUGAAUAUAUCUGAGACUCUUUUUAUCUAUAUUUGCUGCUGCAAAUGCAGCUUUUUUUGUAAAUACAGUAAACACACAAGUGCAAAACAAUUUGCUGCACUUUGACCAACAAUAUGGUCAAUAUUAUUACUAUAAGGCAGUAUCAUUUACUCCUACACACAUAUUCUGAGAAUUAAAAGAAUUAAAAUGGUGAGUUUUAAAUGUCAAAAGUUGGUUAUCAGUGCAAUGGCGCUACUUUAAAAACAGCAUUGAGUGAUAUUUCUAAAAUAAUAUUUCUAGGCAUUUAGAAGACGAUACAGUCUAUUUAGAUAGAAGGGAUUCAGGAAUAUGGGGUGUUGGGUAAGCGGUAUGAAACAUGGCUGAGAGUCCUACGGGUUAGGACAGUCUUAAAUUAGAGGGACAAAGGUUUAAAAAUAAUAUCAGGAAGUAUUACUUUACUGAGAGGGUAGUGGAUGCAUGGAAUAGCCUUCCAGCUGAAGUGGUAGAGGUUAACACAGUAAAGGAGUUUAAGCAUGCGUGGGAUAGGCAUAAGGCUAUCCUAACUAUAAGAUAAGGCUAGGGACUAAUGAAAGUAUUUAGAAAAUUGGGCAGACUAGAUGGGCCGAAUGGUUCUUAACUGCCGUCACAUUCUAUGUUUCUAUAAUUUAUUAUGAAUAAAAUAAGGAGAAAUUUGUAAAAAAAAAAAAUUUUUUUUUUUUUAAAUUGUAGUUCCACCUCACAUUUUAGCUGUAAAUGUCAUAAUACUGUUAGCUUUUACUCCAAAAAAAGCACAUAUUUGGACUCAGCAAAGUUUCACAAGUACAACAGUACCACCCACUAAGUUUUUACGGUGUUUUGGAAAGUUAAAGGAUCAAAUAUAGCACAUUCCAUUUUUCAGUUUUUUCACAUUGAAAUUUGCCAGAUUAGUAAUGUUACCUUUGAGACCGUGUGGUAGCCCAGGAAUGAGAUUUACCCCCCUGAUGGCAUACCAUUUGCAAAAGUAACCAACAGAUGUAUCACCAAAAGGUGAAAAACACAAAUAGUCAAAUAUUUUACAAUGAGUGGUACUUAACUUUAGAUCACGAAUAACAGCCUCCCUAGGUCAUUACCCAGAAGCGACCUAUAUCAUAUAUAGAGAACCACAACAAACAAUUCGGGAUAUGGCUGUGUAAAUCUACAGAAAAGACAUAAAAUAAAACAGUGUGGUAUUGUAACAACACAAUUUCGUUAUGCGCAGCAAUAUUUGCACUCACUAGAUGUAGAUAAGUGUAAGCGUUCUCAAGGUGCCUUCCCCGAUGUAAUGGGGGGCCAACAGAUCUCUCUGAUCACCUCCAGAUAAUUUUUCCACCACAGGACUUCCACAGGUCAGCAUAAAAAAAUUUAGAGACUUAUUCAAUAAAAAAGUAAGCAAUCAGCAUAGGAUAUGAAGAGCAGGAAAGAAAAAGUCCUACGCGUUUCGUUCUAAAUGGACUUCCUCAGGGACCGCAAUAAAAACAAUUGAAAUGUAUCAAUACAUGUUACAAACAAACAUAUGGUAAAAACCCUUCCCUGUGUCCUUAAAUAGGGCUAAUCUCUAAGUCCAUUGGUGGAUUCAGUGGGUGUGUAGAUCCUCUUCUAUUUGGAUUGGAGAAGAAAUCUUCCUUCAUCAGCUGUUUCUAGCUUCUCCAUAAAAUUGGAGCCCUUUUUCUGCAGUUGUUCUGGUGGUGAUGUGCCUUGUUUGCGGUGGUGGUCAGUGUAAGGUGUAGGCUAGCCUCUAGUGGGCGUGUUAACCUUCGGUGUAUAGCACCCUGGGGGGGGGGGGGAACGUUGUGAAACUGGGAGAUGUAGCAUAAACCUGAGUCAUUCAAAAACUCCAACGUAUUAACUAAACAGGUAUGUAAAUAUUGUGCCUGUGCGCUGUUUGUCAUGUGGCAUCUAUCGGGGUGCCUAUCCCUCGGGGUCCGAAGGGGACAGUCCUUGUCGGGUCCCAGGUAAGAGCGGUGGUGGGUGCGUCACGUGUGCCAGGUACCGGUGGGAGCCCCAAUGAUUGAAGGAAUGGGUCCGCCUCCUGUAUAAGGGUGAGUUUAAGAGUGGUACCAUUGCGGUCCACCGACAGGGUUUUAGGUAAUGUCCAGCGGUAGAUCACGUUGGCGUCAUGUAGGCGGUGGGACCUCCUCCACUGAAGGGUGGAUCUGGUCAGGUCCUGGUAGAAGGUGAGACUGGCAUUUUCAAAGUCCAGUGGUGUUUUGCCUCUUGUAGCGGCAAAAAUGUUGUUUCUAUCCGCUAAGGUUUGGCACCUCAGGAUCACAUCGCUGUUUGUUAGGGGAGUUACCUGUCUCGGUUUGCUGGUGCGAAAGGUACCUUUGUUUUAUGCAAAGGUCAGCUUCUUUGCCUGCGAGUGUGGUAAUAAGGUUGCAAAGAGGUGUCUGAGGUAGUGUGGUAGUUCAGAGUGACUUACAUCGUCAGGUAGGCCCCUUAUUUUUACGUUGUUUCUGCAGCAUCCAGUUUGUUGAGCAGGGCAGAGUGGGAGGUUUGAAGUUGCAUUACUGUUUCUUUAAGGCCUCUCACCUCGUGCUACACGUCCAAAAUGUCCUCCUCCUUGGUUUGCAUGCGGUCUGUCACCGCCUGGACCUCAGUGCGCAUUAAGGUCACGUCAGCCGCAGACAUCUGUUUCAGCUCUGCCAGGAGGUUUCUAAUGUCCAGUUUGGUGGCUGGGGUAAGUGCAUCGGGAUACGGAUGCACGUCUAUGUGUGACUGUGGGUCUGUCAUUACCCCCGAUGGUUGCUCCAAUCCUGCAGAGCUGAUGUCCUGUUCAGGCAUGGCGGCUAUCUUUGGUGCCGCGGGGCGCUGCAGCAUUGUGCUGAUGUCCUGGGUGUUUGUACCUCCGCCUGUGGCUGCUCGUUGGGAUCUCCGUCCCAACGGUUGUCCUGCUCUCCGUAGGUGGUGUGAGGACCGGGAUCACCGCGUUGCGUAGCGCAGCUUUGAGGGCCUCGUAUGCGGGGUAGGCCCUGACCUUGCAGUGUAUUUUCUUACCGGUCUGUGGGAAUCGGAAGGGCAUCGGUCGGUCAGUACUGUUUCCCCCUUGCUCUGCUGUAUGAUUUUUCUGGCUGGAUCGGCUUGUUCGGCUCGGUUAGCCGUUGAUUUUUCUCCGGUUGGGCCCCCCAUUCUAAGUGUAUUUUAAUACUAAUAUAUGUACUUAUAUUAAUAUUAAAAUAAAUUACGUAUGACGUUACAUUAUAUAUAUAUAUAUAUAUAUAUAUAUAUAUAUAUAUAUAUAUAUAUAUAUAUAUAUAUAUAUAUAUAUAUAUAUAUAAAAAUAAUGUGUGUGUAUGUAUAUAUGUGUAUGUAUGUAACGUCAUACGUAAUGUAUUUUAAUAUUAAUAUAAGUACAUAUAUAAAAAUAUUAAUAUAAGUACAUAUAUUAGUACACUUAGAUAUUGUGUGACAGAAUACUGUAAUAUAUCACAUUAUAGUAGGAACCAGGAUAAACUCCAGGGAGCCUGAAUGUUGGCCACUAGCACUUUCAGCUUGACAAUAUGGGGUUAAGCUAGUAUUAAGAUAUAGAUUGUGUUAUAUGAUGCACUUUAGGGUCCUGAUUGGACCUGUGACAAUUAUUAUUUUUAGUAUUAUGUCUUAUUUUAUGAUUAAUUUAAGUGUUAAUUAUGGACAUGUACGUUGUAGAAGGGAGGAGAGUAUGAUGACAUUCCCCAGAAAAUGUUUUCUGAUAAAUAUGUAUACUUGUGAGGAAUGCUGGUAAUCCUGCUUCCCAAUCGCAGGUCAGACACUCAGACUGGGGGAACAAGCUCUCUGCGCAUGCGCCAGCAUCUCAUUGACUACCGAGAAUGCUGGCGUCCAGGAAGUACACUGAAAGAUGAGUGAUAGACGCUAUCAGCGUCACGAUCUCCAUGGCAACGACGUCACGUGUUGAUGACGUCAGCGCAAUCAAUGAGACGCUGAAUCCCGGUGGUGCCUGUCCUGACACCCGAGAGGAGAGGAGGCCAGCCUCUUACACACCUGAAUUGUAAGUUCUUUUUUUGAUGUUCUUAUUUAAACUAAGUUUGUUUCGUUUGUUUUAUGUUUGCUGUCCUGAUGAAAGCUCCCAAGUGGAGCUGAAACGUCGACCUGUAAAGUGAAGAAUGAUCUCUUUUUUACAAAACCUGGGAGUGCUGAUUAUUUCAGAGAUAUAUAUAUAUAUAUAUAUAUAUAUAUAUAUAUGUGUAUUUACAUUUUUUUUUUUUUACUACUUCCCACCAGCAGGGGAGCAGGGGGACUGUCUGACAUUUCAGACAGUCCCCCUGCUGGCAGAUCCACAUCCAGCUAUAGGGGGCCAUGUGAUCGCUCUUUGAGAGCGAUCACAUGGCCCCCGGGGGCCUUAUUUGCCGUGGGAGGGCCGCCUGCCUGUCAGGCAGUCCUCCAGAAGAGGAUCGCGGCGGAGGUAUGUAAAUUGGAGCUGCUGGGGCUGCAAGCCGUUUCGGCUUUCAGUGCUGCUGCAACGGCUUUAAAGCCGUAACAGCGUUAAGGGGUUAACAUAUUUGCCAGGCCCUGGACAAAUGGAAUCUUUGUUCUGUAGACCUAGUAAUAUAAUCCAUUUAAAGAAAAACAUCCAGCCAUAACAUCAUAAGGAUAUUAUGCAAUUCAACUCUUUACUAGGGGAAGUCACACUUUGUUUAUAAUUGUAAAGAAAUAAAAUAUACAUUUUUCUUCGUUCUGGACUUACUUAUGAUUUUGCCUGAGUUGAAUUUACAAAUUCAGCAGCUAUGGGGACAAUCUCUAUAUGUAUGCCCCACCACUUAAAAUCAAUGCAGUGGACUUUUUGUUAAUGCUUUGAAAGAAAUUAAAUUUUAAAAUUUGUAUUUUGUUUUUGCAAAACAAGAAGUUUCAAAUGUAGAAAAACACAGCAUUGAAUAUGUGCACUCAAGAUGACUUGGAAUGUGGAGUAUUUUUUUAAAUUAUGUUUGUGUAGUCUGAAAAAUAAAAUUAAUAGGGUUAUUCACUAAAGUGACAAUUCAAAGUGAAUUUCAAAUUUUAUAACAUGACAGGAGGCUUCAUAUUUGCUUCAGUCUCUCUUUACUAGAACGCCACAGCAGCACAUUAACACAGAGAAAAGCAACCAAUCAGAAAAAAAGUAAGGAAACCAUAAAAGGCCUCUCCCAACCAACUACUUCCUCUUUCUUUGCUGCUCCACAUCAAGCACAGGUCAGAGUACCACUGCCUCCUGUUUCAUAUGGGUGACUGUGGAUCUUUUUAUUAUUUAUUCUGUCUUGCUUUAUUGACCAUAUCUGUAUUUGUAUGUUUUUGUUUUUGUGGGGUUUUGCAUUGUUUCCCUGCUUUGGAGUGUACUGCUGUGGGUUUUUCUGACCGUUGGGGACUGGAGUAGCUCUAUCCUGCCUACCCUCUCUCUCUAUUCCUCUUCCUUUACUCUCCCCCUCCCCCCCCCCCGUCCCGCUUGUUUGCCUUUCCCGGUUGCCGGGGAGCGGUUCUCUCCUGUUGCCGACCGCCAGGACUGCGGAGCAUGACUACAGUGGUCCCAUGUGUUGGCCCCUGUCCGCCGAGCGGGGGCUGUCUCCAUCCCUCUCAUAGCCCGCGCUUCCGUCCGCGGUGUCAACUUAACCGUGGCUUGGGGGUGGCUGGCCAUGUAGGAGCAGUAUCUCCCGGCCUCCUGUCACUCACCCUCCCGCGGCCUCGUGGGGCGAGCUGGGAGGGUUUCUACUCAUGUCGAUAUAAUUUGGGAUUAUGUGUUUCUAAGAAUUUAAAGCUGUAUACACUUUUUUUUUUUUUCUUGCUUGUUUAAUGGAGUUAGUGCCUCCUUAUUUGUGGGGUUAUUACUGACUGGUGGGGUUAGGUCCUGUGACGGACCCGCUGGCACUCUGACAGAGUACGUCCGACAAUCGAUGCUCCUAAUGCUUGCCGAGGACUCCAAGCACUCCAACAGACACCAUCAGCACUGCAGACUUAUCCCUUCACCAAGCAUGAGCCAAGGCUUCAAGAAAGGGUCAAUCAGGUCUGUUUUAAUGAGCACACAAAAGCAACAGCACUCAUGCAGCAAAACUCCUCCUCCUCAGAAGAAAACAAACUGACAGUUAAGUUCAGUCAGUGUUUGAAUAUAUGACAGUUAUUGGAAGUUGCUGAACUGUGCCAGUACCAUUUAAAGGGCCAGAACAGUCUUUUAAAACACCAAUAAGUCCAAAUGGUGUUUCUAAUUGGCAAAAUCUCCCAAAGACCAUAGUCAUACGGCAAGAGGCUGGUAAUAAGUCCUCUCCAGGCACAAGUGGCGAAGGGCACUUCGUCACUUCCCUCUGGGGGGGAGACUAACCAGUUACCUGACCUUCUGUCGGUCAGUACCUGAGUUAGUCGAGUAGCCCACCCACAAUACACCAUUACCGCUCCUGUCCUGGUGUCCGACUCUGGCCUGUAUGUCCCAGGUUACUGAGGGGAGCUAGUGGGCAGAGGCCAGCGGCGCUCUGCCCUGAUGCCAGCGCUUCUGCUGGAAGGGGGUCAGUGGAGGCCAACAUCUCCACUAAACCCAGUACCGGGUUAGGGGCUGGCUGUGGAGGGGAGGGGUCGAGUACCUCCCCCUCCUGGUACUCCUGCUACUGCUGGGGAGCGAGACUGGUUGUCUCCUCUCCCUGGGGCUCCAACUGCAGUUGGGGAUCUGGGCCAGCUGCCCAGCAUCCCUGUAGGCCUGGUGGAGAGACCUCGAUCCCAUCUCCACCUGCCGUUUGGGGGUCCUCCAAGGACCAAUCCAUGAGGUCCCCUACCUCGGCUACCUCUGGUUGCUGUUGGGGAGGGAGACCGGUUGUCUCUUCUCCCACUCGCACAUUCAGCUGCUAGGGAAGGGAGGCCAACUGUCUCCUCUCCCGAUAAGACAUACUGCUGCUGGGGAGGAAGGACGACACCUUCUGCUCCCUGGGAGGCACACUGCUGCUGGGGAAGGAGACCAAUUGUCUCCACUCCCUGUAGGAUACACUGCCGCCGGGGGACCAGUUGUCUCCUCUCCCUGUGAGAUAUACUGCCGCUGGGGUGUAGGACCGCCUGUCCUUACUCCCGGUACUUCCAGCUGCAGCUGGGGAUCUGGGCCGACUGCCCAACAUCCCUGAAGGGCCGGUGGAGAGACCUCGGUCCCAUCUCCACCUGCCAGUUGGGGUUCCUCCCAGGACCAGUCUAUGAGAUUCCCAAAGGACCACCUGCCUCCUCUAUCUGUAGCUCAGGUUGCAACUGGGGAUCUGGGCCGGCUGCCCAGCAUCCCUGUAGGGCCGGUAGAGAGACCUCGGUCCAAUCUCCACCUGCCUGUUGGGGGUCCACCCAGGACUGGUACCUCUGGUUGUUGCUGGGGAAGGAGACCGUUGUCUCUUGUCUCUGCACGGUGCACUGCCGCUGGGAAGGGAGACCGGUUGUCCCCAGCCCCAGUCUCCACAAUCUGAACUCACAUUCCCGUGCUGCUUGGUUCUCCUCAUCCAGCUCUUGCAUAAUAUGGACGAUCACCUCUUCUGAAGGGUCUGGGCCAUACUCGACUAGCCGCCUCUUUACCUCCGAGAUGUAAGCGUCGCCCUCAUAGCAAUAGGUCAUGUUUGCUUGGCCCCACUGUGGGCCACUAGCGCUCCGAUCCGUGCCUUGGUUUCCGCUGUAGACAGGGGUGCUGCACGAGUGCUAGUGUCGCCCUCACUUGUAGCUCCGUAACGUUACCAGUGUCUCCGAGUUGCUUCUCCUCACGCUAGGACGCCAUCCCACCGCUUGUAACCAAAUGUGACUGACCCGCUGGCACUCCGACCGAGUACCUCCGCCAAUUGAUGCUCCUAGUGCUUGCUGAGGACUCCAAGCACUCCAACCGACACCAUCAGCAGUGCAGACUUAUCCCUUCCCCAAGCAUGAGACAAGGCUUCAAGAAAGGGUGAAACAGGUCUGUUUAAUGAGCACACAAAAGCAACAGCACUCAUGCAGCAAAACAACUCCUCCUCAGAGGAAAACAAACUGACAGUUAAGUUCAGUCAGUGUUUGAAUAUAUGACAGUUAUUGGAAGUUGCAGAACUGUGGCAGUACAAUUUAAAGGGUCAGAACAGUCUUUUAAAACACCAAUAAGUCCAAAUGGUGUUUCUAACUUGCAAAAUCUCCCAGGGACCAUAGUCAUACGGCAAGAGGCUGGUAAUUAGUCCUCUCCAGGCACAAGUGGCGAAGGGCACUUUGUCACAGGUCCUCAUACCCAUUGGUUUCUGCUCAAUACUGUAUCAUUUGGGAUUAUGUGUGUUUCCAAGAAUUUUAAAGCUGUAUACACGUUUUGUAUUUUUCUUGCUAGUUUAAUGGAGUGAGUGCCUUUAUUGCACACUCCUUAUUCUGGGGUUAUUACUACCUGGUGGGGUUAGGUCCUCAUACCCCAUAUUCUUGGGAUAGUAAGAAGACUUAUAAUGGUGGGGGACACAUUUAGAGGCCGCACAUCCCUCUACAAUUUAGGCCUUCCCUGGUCUGCCAGAGUUUUCUACCACUAUUUUCUGCAAUGUCUGUGGAUUCUAGGUCCCUUCAAUUUCUGCAUGCCUACAGGUCUUCUGCACACUCUGAUUGGCCUCCUUUUACUGCGCCACAAGGAUUGGCCUGCUUUGUAUGUUCCAUUAUCACUGUACGCCUGGCCUGUCGGCUCAGCGUUCACACUUGGGCCCUGCAGGUGCUACCAUACUUGCCUCUGACACUAAAUGGGUUGCUACGGCAAUGCGUCAAGGCCCGACAUUAUCGGCCUCACAUUCCAGGCGCUGCUGCUUGUCAGGUGCAGGGGAGGAGACCUCAAUACCCCCCUCCCCACCCAUGGCCGUCCUGGAUGAAUGGCGGGCGGACCAGUCCCCCUCGGAGGAGGAAAUUGAGUGGGAUGAGGACUAUGGGGAUGACCCUAAGUGGCACCGUGAGGCUGAGGACGCCUCCAUGCCAGGGACGAUGGGUACGGCCGUGGACGAAAACACUUUCCUGGACGCCAUCGGCAAACUCCUGUUCGACCCUCGGUCCAUUCAACACCCCAGGUCCUCCAACUAGUCCUUUCCAGACCAUUUGGCACACUUCGUGCAUUACUGGGUCUCCCAGCCUCUGGAUUGGGAAGUUUGCAGAAAACUUCGGGCGGAAUGCCCCAGGCCUGUACUGCCAGAUGAGGUCGACACAACCCAGGAUUCAAUGCCUUGAUUUCCACGUGCAUGGACCGUACUGGACGUGAUCCCAAGAAAGGGGUCUGGCGCAGAACAAACUGCUAGACAUGCUUGGUCCCCUAUGCAGGAUGCUAAGGCUGGCAGACGAAUCCUAUUCGGAAGGGGCUACCUUGGACUCGACCACCAUGCGGGUGGCUUUGUGCUCUGUUUACCUGCUGGGCAAUACGUAUGUGGCACUUUCCACGGACUGCAGGAAGGCGGUCCUUUUCCAUAUGGACAACAAAUUGUCGGAUUUGGGGUCAAAGGAAUUGGGCUCCCUGGCUAAAGGUCUUCUGCUCAGGGAACCUUUCAUAAAGGAGCUGCAUGAACAAGGCUCAGACCUCCAUGAAGAGGGUUUUUCGCUCACAGACUUCACGGGUUUUUGGCAGGGCUGGACAACAACGGGUCAUGUCUCCAGGCGCUUUUGACCUUCUGGUUGCCGAGGAUCCCGUGGACCAUUGUUCUUCCCCUCCUACUCCAAGAGGUCGGACAGAGGUAGAGGAAAUCGAGCCAGAGGACGUGCAAGAUCAUCUUCAGGUGAGAGCAACGCCUUCCGUUUCUCCCUUUCCCCUGUUGCAGGCGGGCAGACUGUUUCACUGCAGGGUCAGGUGGCGGGAGGUGUCCAUGGGUUCUACGGACGGUUCGGGUAUAGGUCAUAGACUUUCCCCCUCCGAAUCAGGUUCGGCCUCCAAGUUCCCGUUUCCUCACGGGUGCAACUAUUACAGGGAGGCGGGCCCUGUUCGACAAGGGCCCAGUCCAUUGGUCUCCGGACACGCAGGGUUUUUUCAGCUUUUUCUGAAAAAGUCCAGAGAGUUCCGCCCGGUGUUUAAAUCUGCGGAACCUGAACGAGAUUGGAUCGGAAGGGCGCUUACCUCUCAGUCCUGGUGGCACAGAGUGCCUAAGAUUCCUCCAUUUCCUCUGGAAGGGCAGACCUUGCUAGUUCACCUCUUACGUUCGGCCUCAGCUUGACUGUGUGGUGCGUCACCAAGCUAUUGAAACCAGUGCUUGCACGACUCCGGUCAGAGGGUGUCGGUUGUAUCAUCUACCUGGACGAUCUGCGGAUCUUCUGCGAGGAGCCCUCCAGGCUAAAGUGUCAAACGCGCUCUGUGGUCUCCUUGUUUGAGUCCCUGGGUUUCGUGGUCAACCAGGUGAGGUCGGCUCUCUCUCACUCCCAGGUGGUCGAGUUCUUGGCUUUCGAAAUAGACGCAAGGGACUCCAUCCAAGAUAGUGACCAUUUGAAAGGAAAUGAGGUGGGUUCUACAUCAAGACCGGAUCACACUACGGAUGUUGGCACGCGUGGUGGGUCUCCUCUCUUCUUCAAUCCAGACUAUCUGCCCGGGUUUCCUCCUUUACAGGGCCAUGCAGCGUAUGAAAGCCCAUUUUCAAUGCAGGAGACCUUCCUACGACUAAGGGAUUCCCCUCUUUCUGGACGUGAAGACCGUGUUACAGUGGUGGCUCCUUCACAUGUCUGCCUGGAACGGCAAAGCAAUUUUGGUCCAAUUCCGGAUUUCGUGCUAGAGUCAGAUGCAAGUCUUUGGGGUUUGGGAGCCACCUGCGAGACUAGCCCCACAGGGGGGUCCAUGGUCAGAGAUGGAAACGGUGUUCCACAUCAACUGCCUGGAACUGAUUGCGUGUUCGUUCGCGUUUCAGAGACUGGCGAGCCACCUUUCAGAUUGCUAUAUCCUCAUACGGUUGGCCGAUGUCUCGGGGGUACUAUAAGUCAGCCGCCUGGGAGGAACCCGCUCUCGGAUCCUCUCUGAGGUGACAGAGAUUUACAGCUUCUGUUUCCAACGCAACAUCACCGUUCAGGUGGAGUAUCCACCACAGGAGCCGAACAUGACGGCGGAUUGGUUCUCCAGACAUUGGAGGGACGCCAGCGAUUGGAGGUUCUUUCUUCCCAUCGUUCUUCAAGAUCAAAGACCAGAGGGGUCCGUUCACCUCCCGGACGAUCUUUUAGGUCCCGGCCUACUUCAGCUGGCUCCCGGAGCCGGUUUGCUCAGCGGUGGACGUUUUUCCUUCAAGUGUGGCCGUCACGGGAGCCUAUGCGUUUUCUCCAGUUGCUAUGAUACCCAGGGUCUUGCUGCAAGUUCAACGUCUUCAUGUGUCUUUGGUGUUGCUGACUCCACUAUGGCAGAGUCAAGUCUGGUUCCCGGAGCUCCUCUAUCUGUCUCAUCUGGACCCACAUCUGGACCCCCUUCUGAGGAUUUUUUCGGACUCCCGGGGCAAUCCUCAUGCUCCCGUGAUGGACGGUCUCCUUCGCCUGAUGGCCUGGUGUCUUUGGUGCCUGGUAAGGGAUACAGAUUCCUUUACGGAUCCUGGGUCCAGCGUGCUGAUUUUUGUCAGGUCUGUUUGACCUGGGACGCUGGUAUCGUUCGGUUUAUAUAGCUAGAUUGGCAAUUUUGACGGCUCAAUUACCGCUUAGAGGGCUUCCCAUCGGUCGGGACCCGCUGGUUUGCAGGCUUCUCCGAGGAAUGAGAUGGUCGCGAUCUGCGAUACCGAAGUAUUACUCUCUCUGGGACGCACCGUUGUUGUCGUUCCUCCAGGAUUGGCCGGAUUGUCAAGCCCUUUCCCUUUGUCAACUUUUGGCUUGAUUUGCCCUCUGGCUAUGCCUUUUUUUUUUUUUUUAGACGUGUUUUAGACAUAUGGCCUUCAAUGUUGACAAACCAGUCUUGUCUCCUACUUGGGCGCGCUGGAUUCAAUGGUUGUUGGCUUUAGUGGGGGGUGAAUUCGAUCUUUGGAGCGCAUUCGGUUAGAGGCGCCUUUAUCGCGGGCGCAUCUUUCCAGGACAUCAUGCGUUCAAGCCUACUGGUUCUGAGAAGAUAAAUUUUGCAAAUUUUAUUUUAGACAGGCGCAUCAUGCUGCUUUUGUUUUGCUGUCUGAGCGUUAAAACAGCAAAUAUGAAGCCUCCUGUCAUGUUAUAAAAUUGUAGAUUAUACUAGCUUUAGUGUAACUAUAAUAAAAUUUAAGAUUAAUGACAGGAGGUGAAUAUUUCCCUCGCAGUUUUCACCCUUCCCUGGUACCUUGUUUGUUUUAUUUGACUACCUCUAGUCGAUAGUCUGUUCUCCAGAACUGUGUUUAGGUAGGUCAAUUAUUUGCCUUCCUGAGGGAAGUCGGCGUGUGAUAUUAAGGAUGUUGUACUGUCUGUAAUUGAUUAUGGGUCUUCAUGAUUUCACAGUACAUUUUAUUAACUAAUCAAUGUUUUCGACUCUGCUUUUCUCGUUCCAGUAUAAUGGUUCGUCUACAGAUCCAAGUUCAAGGCUUUCUUCAGGAUAGAGUUCAAGGAUUUAUCUACUGUUCCACGUUCAUUUCGAGUUUGGAUGAAGUCAUUAGCUGACUUUGUUUGAGUCCUUAUGAUUCUGCUAUUGAGUUAUUCAUGUACUUUGUUUUGUCACAGCUUGAAAGAGGAAGUAGUUGAUUGGGAGGGGCCUUUUUAUGGUUUCCUUAAUUUUUUCUGAUUGGUUGUUUUUCUCUGUGUUAAUGUGCUGCUUCUAGUAAAGAGACUUAAGCAAAUAUUCGCCUCCUGUCAUUAAUACAUUUAGGAUUAUAGUUACACUAAAGCUAGUAUAAUCUACAAUUCAAGGCCAAAGUAGCUGAACUGAAAGCAUUGCACAGAGACAAGAGGGAAAACAUGCACACCGCACCUCCAUGUCACAUUUUCAAGAGAAGGCAAUCCUUUGUAUUGCAAAUGGAUUAUUUUGAGUUUUGUGGUGUAGCCUGUUUAUCACAAGUACUGGCCACAUUUAGUGUUAGUAUUGCACAUUUAUUGCAAUGCAGCCUCAAUAUUAUUUAAAGUAUCACUAUAGGGUCAGGAACAAAAACAUGUAUUCCUGACUAGGGAUUCACCGAAAUGAAAAUUCUGGGCCGAAAACUGAAGCCGAAAAUGACCUUUUUUUUUUUUCCCAAAUGAUUUUAAAUUUAUUUUUUAUUUUUUCUAGAAUUUUAUUAGUCUUUUUAAUGAAUUUAAUCUAAUAUGAAAAACUUGCCUUCUCUCCCGCUUAAUGUUCGUCUAGUGUUUCUUCCCCCCCUCUUUUUUUAGUGUUCUUUCCUCCUUCCUCCCCAGUCACAUAGUGUUCUCUCUCUCCCCCCCGUCUCAUAGUGUUCUUUCCCAUAGUGUUCUUUCAUUGUGAUCUGUAAUCAUCUAAAUUCUUAAUGCAAGCAUGUUUGUUAAAGUAUGCACUACAAAAAUAUCAUAUAUAUAUAAUUUUUUUUUUUUUUUUUGGCAAAUUUGACCCAUUUUCGGCUGAAAUUUUAGCAGCCGAAUUUUGGGCCAUCCCUAUUCCUGUUACUGUAGUGCUAAACCCACCAUUUAGGUGGCUUGCCCCCCUAUAAAAGUUUAAAACUCACCUUAUUUUUUCAGCGGCGCUGGCUCUGCCCCAUUUGUGACAUCAUCGAAAUAGCACGGGGCGGGCCAAAUGCCAUUUUGCCCAUUCAGGAAUUGAAUCAAUG
rnacentral:lncRNA from 1 species